AUAAGCGCACACGGUGGAUGCCUAGGCGGUCAGAGGCGAUGAAGGACGUGGUAGCCUGCGAAAAGUGUCGGGGAGCUGGCAACAAGCUUUGAUCCGGCAAUAUCCGAAUGGGGAAACCCACUGCUUCGGCAGUAUCUUGCAGUGAAUUCAUAGCUGCUUGAAGCGAACCCGGUGAACUGAAAUAUCUAAGUAACCGGAGGAAAAGAAAUCAACCGAGAUUCCCUGAGUAGUGACGAGCGAACGGGGAACAGCCCUUAAGCUGGAAUGGCUUUAGAAAAACAAUCUGGAAAGAUUGGCCAUAGAAGGUGAUAGCCCUGUAUUUAAAAGGGCCACUCCAGUGAAGACGAGUAGGGCGGGGCACGUGAAACCCUGUCUGAAUAUGGGGGGACCAUCCUCCAAGGCUAAAUACUCCUGACCGACCGAUAGUGAACCAGUACCGUGAGGGAAAGGCGAAAAGAACCCCGGAGAGGGGAGUGAAAUAGAUCCUGAAACCGUGUGCGUACAAGCAGUAGGAGCUCGCAAGAGUGACUGCGUACCUUUUGUAUAAUGGGUCAGCGACUUACUGUUCGUGGCAAGCUUAACCGUAUAGGGGAGGCGAAGGGAAACCGAGUCUGAUAAGGGCGCAUAGUCGCGGGCAGUAGACCCGAAACCGGGUGAUCUAGUCAUGGCCAGGGUGAAGGUGCCGUAACAGGUACUGGAGGCCCGAACCCACGUCUGUUGCAAAAGACGGGGAUGAGCUGUGAUUAGGAGUGAAAAGCUAAUCGAACCCGGAGAUAGCUGGUUCUCCUCGAAAGCUAUUUAGGUAGCGCCUCGGACGAAUACUACUGGGGGUAGAGCACUGUUAUGGCUAGGGGGUCAUCGCGACUUACCAAACCAUUGCAAACUCCGAAUACCAGUACGUACUAUCCGGGAGACACACGGCGGGUGCUAACGUCCGUCGUGAAAAGGGAAACAACCCAGACCCACAGCUAAGGUCCCAAAUUCACUGCUAAGUGGAAAACGAUGUGGAAAGGCAUAGACAGCCAGGAGGUUGGCUUAGAAGCAGCCACCCUUUAAAGAAAGCGUAAUAGCUCACUGGUCGAGUCGGUCUGCGCGGAAGAUUUAACGGGGCUAAGCAGUGAACCGAAGCUUGGGGUGCGUAAAACUUCGGUUUUAUGCGCGGUAGAGGAGCGUUCCGUAAGCCUGCGAAGGUGGAUUGAGAAGUCUGCUGGAGGUAUCGGAAGUGCGAAUGCUGACAUGAGUAACGAUAAUGCGGGUGAAAAGCCCGCACGCCGAAAGCCCAAGGUUUCCUUGCGCAACGUUAAUCGACGCAGGGUUAGUCGGUCCCUAAGGCGAGGGCGAAAGCCGUAGUCGAUGGGAAGCAGGUUAAUAUUCCUGCACCUCGCGUGAGUGCGAUGGAGGGACGGAGAAGGUUAGGUGUACCGGGCGUUGGUUGUCCCGGGGAAAGGCGGUAGGUUUGGAUCUUUGGCAAAUCCGGGAUCCUUUAAGACCGAGCACCGAGACGAGCCUUUAUGGCGAAGUCACUGAUACCACGCUUCCAGGAAAAGCUCCUAAGCUUCAGCUCACGAAGACCGUACCGUAAACCGACACAGGUGGGUAGGAUGAGAAUUCUCAGGCGCUUGAGAGAACUCGGGUGAAGGAACUAGGCAACAUGGCACCGUAACUUCGGGAGAAGGUGCACCCUUUUUGGUGGCUCAUGCGAGCUAUAGCUGAAGAGGGUCGCAGAAACCAGGCCGCUGCGACUGUUUAUCAAAAACACAGCACUCUGCAAACACGAAAGUGGACGUAUAGGGUGUGACGCCUGCCCGGUGCUGGAAGGUUAAUUGAUGGGGUCAGCCGCAAGGCGAAGCUCUUGAUCGAAGCCCCAGUAAACGGCGGCCGUAACUAUAACGGUCCUAAGGUAGCGAAAUUCCUUGUCGGGUAAGUUCCGACCUGCACGAAUGGCGUAACGACAGCGGCGCUGUCUCCACCCGAGACUUAGUGAAAUUGAAAUCGCUGUGAAGAUGCAGCGUUCCCGUGGCAAGACGGAAAGACCCCGUGAACCUUUACUAUAGCUUUACACUGAACGUUGAGUUCGUCUGUGUAGGAUAGGUGGGAGGCUAUGAAACUGUGGCGCUAGCUGCAGUGGAGCCAACCUUGAAAUACCACCCUGUCGUGCUUGACGUUCUAACCUAGAUCCGUUAUCCGGAUCAGGGACCGUGUAUGGUGGGUAGUUUGACUGGGGCGGUCUCCUCCUAAAGAGUAACGGAGGAGCACGAAGGUACGCUCAGCGCGGUCGGACAUCGCGCACUGUGUGCAAAGGCAUAAGCGUGCUUGACUGCAAGAUCGACGGAUCAAGCAGGUACGAAAGUAGGUCUUAGUGAUCCGGUGGUUCUGUAUGGAAGGGCCAUCGCUCAACGGAUAAAAGGUACUCCGGGGAUAACAGGCUGAUACCGCCCAAGAGUUCAUAUCGACGGCGGUGUUUGGCACCUCGAUGUCGGCUCAUCACAUCCUGGGGCUGUAGUCGGUCCCAAGGGUAUGGCUGUUCGCCAUUUAAAGUGGUACGCGAGCUGGGUUCAGAACGUCGUGAGACAGUUCGGUCCCUAUCUGCCAUGGGCGUUGGAAGUUUGAGAGGGGCUGCUCCUAGUACGAGAGGACCGGAGUGGACGAACCUCUGGUGUUCCGGUUGUCACGCCAGUGGCAUUGCCGGGUAGCUAUGUUCGGAAGCGAUAACCGCUGAAAGCAUCUAAGCGGGAAGCGCGCCUCAAGAUGAGACUUCCCGGGGCACAAGCCCCCUAAAGGAACCAUAUAGACUAUGUGGUUGAUAGGUCAGGUGUGUAAGUACAGCAAUGUAUUGAGCUAACUGAUACUAAUGAUCCGUGCGGCUUGACC
rnacentral:rRNA from 3 species